rnacentral:rRNA from 1 species
GACGAACGCUGGCGGUGUGCUUAACACAUGCAAGUCGAGCGGUAAGGCUCCUUCGGGAGUACACGAGCGGCGAACGGGUGAGUAACACGUGAGCAAUCUGCCCUUCACUUUGGGAUAACUUCCGGAAACGGAAGCUAAUACCGAAUACGACCACUUCAGGCAUCUGAUGGUGGUGGAAAGUUCCGGCGGUGAAGGAUGAGCUCGCGGCCUAUCAGCUUGUUGGUGAGGUAACGGCUCACCAAGGCUUCGACGGGUAGCCGGCCUGAGAGGGUGACCGGCCACACUGGGACUGAGACACAGCCCAGACUCCUACGGGAGGCAGCAGUGGGGAAUAUUGGACAAUGGGCGAAAGCCUGAUCCAGCAACGCCGCGUGAGGGAUGACUGCCUUCGGGUUGUAAACCUCUUUCAGCGGGGACGAAGCGAAAGUGACGGUACCCGCAGAAGAAGCACCGGCCAACUACGUGCCAGCCGCCGCUGUAAGAC